CCUACGGGGGGCUGCAGUGGGGGAUAUUGCACAAUGGGGGGAACCCUGAUGCAGCGACGCCGCGUGGGUGAAGAAGCGCCUCGGCGCGUAAAGCCCUGUCAGCAGGGAAGAAAAUGACGGUACCUGAAGAAGAAGCCCCGGCUAACUACGUGCAAGCAGCCGCGGUAAUACGUAGGGGGCCAGCGUUAUCCGGAUUUACUGGGUGUAAGGGGGGCGCAGACGGCGAUGCAAGCCAGGAGUGAAAGCCCGGGGCCCAACCCCGGGACUGCUCUUGGAACUGCGUGGCUGGAGUGCAGGAGGGGCAUGCGGAAUGCGCGGUGUAGCGGUGAAAGGCAUAGAUAUCGCGCAGAACCCCGAGUGCGAAGGCAGCGUGCCGGGCCGCCACUGACGCUGAGGCACGAAAGCGCGGGGAUCGAACAGGAUUAGAUACCCUUGUAGUC
rnacentral:rRNA from 1 species